GAUUUAUAAAGAAGAGCGGAGAGACAGGCUCAAUGAAGCUCUAGCAACCUACCAGCCGUGUAAGGUGCUAAUUCCUGAUCCCAGGGGACAUAUUGCCACCUGGGGAAUAUAAAUU
rnacentral:ncRNA from 2 species